rnacentral:rRNA from 1 species
UACGUAGGCAGCGAGCGUUGUUCGGAAUUACUGGGCGUAAAGAGUGUGUAGGCGGUGCUCCAAGUCUGUCGUGAAAUCUCCCGGCUUAACUGGGAGGGUGCGGCGGGAACUGGAGUGCUCGAGUGUGGGAGAGGUAAGCGGAAUUCCUGGUGUAGCGGUGAAAUGCGUAGAUAUCAGGAGGAACACCUGUGGUGUAGACAGCUUACUGGACCACGACUGACGCUGAGACACGAAAGCGUGGGUAGCAAACAGG